CAGCACCUCAAGUGGUCAGGAUGAUUAUUGGGCCUAAAGCAUCCGUAGCCGGCGCUGUAAGUUUUCGGUUAAAUCUGUACGCUCAACGUACAGGCUGCCGGGAAUACUGCAGAGCUAGGGAGUGGGAGAGGUAGACGGUACUCGGUAGGAAGGGGUAAAAUCCUUUGAUCUAUUGAUGACCACCUGUGGCGAAGGCGGUCUACCAGAACACGUCCGACGGUGAGGGAUGAAAGCUGGGGGAGCAAACCGGAUUAGAUACCCGAGUAGUAC
rnacentral:rRNA from 1 species